AAAUAGCGAAAAAAAAAAAUGUGCAGAAACCAUCAACAAUGAUAGUCAGUGCGAACGAAAAGCCCAAGGCUUCAAGAAAGCUAUUCACUUUAUUAAAGGAAUGAGGCGCUUGAAAGCCUUUAUAUUUUGCAGUGAGGACAUUUAGGUAGUUUCCAUUGUUUCACUGCAUAAUUAUCGCAGCGAACAGAGCUGAUAACCAGCACAACUGCCGCUAGCGGUAGUAUACAGGUGAACGGCACGUGUGCCUCACAGACCCACGACAGCUGGCGUGGGGCAAACGUGCCUCACAACGCGAGCACCACUUGCGUCGGCGUCCUUGUUCCGACCGCCAACCACGCAAAUGGACGGGAGCCGUGAAUGUUGGCUAUGCAAACGAGUGCAUCCUGCCACGCACCGAACCACGACAGCCUGGUGCCAAUCACUGACUGCUAGAAACCACGACGCAACACAUUCCCCAACUUGUCACAGCGCAAUGGGCACGAGAGACGAACUAAUGCGUUCACGACCGAGCGCUUGUCGAGAGCGUUCAGUGUACGUGACUACGCACGCUCACCGUGCUAAAUGUCUGCGUGCAUUCUUUCCUGAACACCGUCCAGCCAUGGAAGCCAAUCUUGCCCCGCAAGUCAAUGAAGAUGACGAACCCAGGCCAAUCAUCAUCGCCAGCGCUAGACACGGGCUCGCCGCUCGUGCUGGGACUCUCUUCUGUUCUGCCACCACGUUUGCCGCUCUCAGUCAAUAAACCCGUUUGCACUUAC